rnacentral:rRNA from 2 species
AAAUUGAAGAGUUUGAUCAUGGCUCAGAUUGAACGCUGGCGGCAGGCCUAACACAUGCAAGUCGAGCGGAAACGAGUUAUCAGA